GAGAAAGGGGAAGGAGAACCGUGAGAGAGAGAGAGGGAGAGAGAGAAGAGGCAAAGCUUCUCCCUAAGGAAUUCAACAUCCAUGGAAGCUUGAAGAUGGUUGAAGAAGAUAGAAGAGAGAGGAAAGAUCAACCAAAAGCUUGGGAAAAAUUGAAGAGACUAAGGGAUGAACAAAGGUUUGGGUAAGGUUGAGACGAGGACAUUGUACCAUUACCACCGGGAACCGAUCACUGUGAGUAGUAGUAC